AUACAUCGGGACGAUCGGGGUCUCUCCCGGGGAGUCGGUCGUCUAAUCUCGCGUGAGUCGCACGUAUCUCAUACUCUGCUCCGUUUGAUCUCCCGUAGGAGAGAAGGACUCUCUCUCUCUCUUUCUCUCUCCUCUGCUACUUAGUCGCACACAACUUGCAUUAUCGUUUGAGAAAAACAUUUAAACUGCAGAAAAUAUCACUUGACGCAUCGAACGGGACACGGGCUAAAUGAUUUUGUUGUUACGUGCGUAGAUGACGAGAGAGGGGAAAUGAGAGACUUUUUUUGGACGGUCUGCGCACGGAUUAUCUGCGGAGAUUAAUAGGGUUCUCUACAAAUCGAAGAUCGUCGGAAGCUAGUUUUUUCGCACAGAGACGAGAAAGUAUCGAAAAACAGAGAUAGCGGGCGUGUCACCAAGAGGUCUGGAAGGUCGUAUACGUUUUUUCUCUAGCGGUGUUCGGGCAGGGCGUGGCUGGGCUCUUCUCUUCUCUUGGUCUAUUGACCGUAAAAGGAUGGGUUCUUGCGUUUCGAAUUUUUAAGAUUAUUUACAAUAACGCUCCGGUAUGUAGAUUCCGACAGCGUGGAUCAUCCGAUCGAGUGAAAAAAAAAAAAAAAAAAAAACAGAAAAAAAAUGGAAAAUUUUUCGCUUUCGAGGACACACACUCGAGCUCCUCGACGAUCGAAAAAAUGUUGUUGGAAUUUUGACCGUUUCUCGAACAGAAAGAGAGCGGGAGAAGAGGAAAAAGUAAAUGCGUAAUUCUUGCCACGUAUGCAUCUGGAAGAAUGAUCGCACGAAAUGGCGGACGACGCCGCGAUGUGGCGACCACUCUCGGGAGAGCGCGCCGCUCUCUCCUGCAAUCGCUCUCCGUUUUUUCCGCGUCCUCCGCACAAUCAUUAUUAUUAGUAGGAAAAAUCUACACAAUGCAAAGAUAUCUAUUUUGCGCGCGAGAGAUGUUUUACUGUGUGAUGAUCUUGUGUGUUUGUGCUUCUUCGGACCUCGUAGCGAUACAUGUCCGAAAGAAUUUCGCGCGACAACGAUUGCAAACGAUUUUUCAAAGUGAACCAGUGUCGCGUAGUUGCGAUAUAAAAUUUCGUGAUGACAAAAAGAAUCAUCGGUGUGCUGUAUGAAAAUCUUAGACGAUGCACAGACAUUUCUAGGAAAUUUUUUCGUGCAUUUCCGCAUAGUACGAGGAACGAAAAAAAAAAAUGUACUUUGUACUCUACUGUCUUUCAGUGCCGUUUCUCAAUAAAAAGAAAAUGAAAUUAAAAACAAAAAUCGUUAUCUAAUCGCAACAUUCGUCGACCCACAGUAACAAGUAUCAAAUUGGAGUCUUCUUCUUCAUUUCGUCGGUUGCUAAUAAAACUGCACACAAUCGAAGAUUUGUCAUUGUAUUUAGUCAUAAGAACGUAUUGUUUAUUUAUUUGUUUUUUUUUUAUUUUUAAAGAAAACGCACAGUCGUGCGUAUUUUCAUGAGAGUCCAAAGAAAAUUCCCAGGACUCGGGAACGUACUGAAACCACGACCGCGUUCUGCCUCUCGCUCGCGAGAGCCGUUGCUGGCUCUUCUCCCUUCCUACGCUCCGUAUCUCCAUUCCCCUCAUCCCUUCCCUCUCCUUUCCUCGUUUCACCCAUCCCCACGGCUUUUAAUAGAAAAAGAAAAAAAAGAGAAAAAAAAACAGGUACGCAUACAGACGUGUUUGUCGGCGUGCUCUGGUGGUAGUUUCACACACGACGAGAGCGCCCUUUUCCUCCACGUCGUAUGAGUGAAAGCGGGUGAAGGGGGAGAUUAGCGGAGCGGAGAGCGCAUAGUGGGGGAAAGGAAGAAUAGAAAGAGAGAGAGAGAGAGAGAGAGAAGAGGGUAAUGGCGGAGAGGAAAGCCAUCGAGUGCCACGGUGGCUGGCUGGCUUGGCUGGCUGCCUAGCGAGCGAGCCGUGAAUCGUAUCCCUUCCCUCUUCGAAAUUGCUCCCACCGGUCCUCCUGCCUUCUCUUUCCCCGCUUCCAUUGCUCAUCGAGGAAUUUUACUCGGGCAGACUCGCUCCCAGGCUUUGGAUCUUCCCCUCCCCCUUCCCCUCCCACCGGUGUUCUGGUCGACGUACGACGGGUUCUGCUUUAUGUGGCGGCAUUAACAUGGGUCUCCAUAAACCGAGGGAGUCUCUAGGUCAGCACCGUGUUCUCUUACAUUGCAAGAACGCCCUAGCGCAGCCUCGCUCAUCUGCUGUCCGGGGCUUGAUAAUACCAACGACUGUAACCGUUCGAGACGUCCGAGGGCCUGCUGCCAUAACGUUUCCGUCCAUCCCGCGUAGCGCAGGAGCGAACAAUACAACGUGAUCCAGGUGCAAGAAUAAGGGAAGGAUGAGAGAGACGAAGGGGAGGCCCGCAGACUUACGUACAUUGAGCAACAGUGCAUCUGAAAUGAAUUUGGAACGCUUUUCGGCGGGAAAAACGAUAAUACAUAUCUCUUCGAGAUAACGAUGGAUUCGGCGUUGCGCAAGAUUAUGACAUACCUGCUGUAAUAAUCUUACAUAUUCGAGCACAUCAGCACGACAGUACGAAGAAGAAAAAUAAACGCGCACCAGAAUUUUUUUGUAAAUACACGUUUGCAUGAGAAGUCGUGGAAUAUACGGAAAUAUAUGUCUUACAAUGCAGUUGAAAAAUCUAUUCAUCAAAUUCUGGUUCAUAUUCAAACCCUAACGAGAGGAGGUCGUACAGGCUUCGAGGUCGAAGGCAAAGUCACGUUAGGCGACUCUGUGUCGACCAUGUGUUUGUUGUGUCGUCGUGCUGAGAUGCCGUUAUUUUAAUGUAGAUAAGCUAAGACCGGACUAAGAAUGAAAGGCCGUAGGAGACACUCGUGUCGCAGUGCAUAUAUCCUUGCGCACCAAGGCAACAUCGAGUAGUCUCUUGCAUCCAGCAGAUUUUCACAACACAAGAGCAACUGGAUUUUUUCCCUCAAUAAAUCCCACGAUAAUAUAUACAUGAAUAGCCGCUCAUUAUUAUCUCGAAAAGAUGGAUCAUGAAUCUUAAACGCUUUUCUCAUAAUGACGUAUGAAACGUACUUCGUAAAGCCGAGCAAAUACGAGAACGUUCAGCGUCAUUAGGAAAAAAAGUGCCCCCACGUGUGCGUUAUUCA